GUUGAGAUUGUCAACGUCUCUACAAAUUGUCUCCUGCAGGCCUUGAGGUGCUCAAGAUAAGACUCCUAUGUAUGUUCCCUUACCUGUUAAACCUGCUGCCUACCAAUCUGGAGGGGCUUCCUCUUUCUUCCAUCUCUCCAUGCCCUCCAUGUACAGGGACCUGUUUGUGAACCAACAAAAUGUCACAAAGGAAUAUCCAGCUCGCAGAUGCAGUGUUGUAGAUGUGACUGAACCACAUUGACGGUAUUUAUGCUGCAAACAAAUGGUGUUACAGUCUGUGGAUUUCUCC